GACGAACGCUGGCGGCGUGCUUAACACAUGCAAGUCGAACGGUGAAGCGCCUUCCUUUUUGGUGGGUGUGGAUGAGUGGCGAACGGGUGAGUAACACGUGAGUAACCUGCCCCCUUCUUCUGGAUAACCGCAUGAAAGUGUGGCUAAUACGGGAUAUUCUGGGUCUGUCGCAUGAUGGGUCUGGGAAAGAUAUUGUUUCGGUGGGGGAUGGGCUCGCGGCCUAUCAGCUUGUUGGUGGGGUGAUGGCCUACCAAGGCGGUGACGGGUAGCCGGCCUGAGAGGGUGGACGGUCACACUGGGACUGAGACACGGCCCAGACUCCUACGGGAGGCAGCAGUGGGAAUAUUGCACAAUGGGCGCAAGCCUGAUGCAGCGACGCCGCGUGAGGGAUGGAGGCCUUCGGGUUGUGAACCUCUUUCGCCAGUGAAGCAGGCCUGCCUCGUUUGUGGGUGGGUUGACGGUAGCUGGAUAAGAAGCGCCGGCUAACUACGUG
rnacentral:rRNA from 1 species